CCUACGGGUGGCAGCAGUGGGGGAUAUUGCACAAUGGGGGAAACCCUGAUGCAGCGACGCCGCGUGAGUGAAGAAGUAUUUCGGUAUGUAAAGCUCUAUCAGCAGGGAAGAAAAUGACAGUACCUGAACAAGAAGCCCCGGCUAACUACGUGCAAGCAGCCGCGGGAAUACGUAGGGGGAAAGCGUUAUCCGGAUUUACUGGGGGAAAAGGGAGCGUAGACGGUUUUGUAAGUCUGGUGUGAAAGCCCGGGGCCCAACCUCGGGACUGCUUUGGAAACUGGGUAACUGGAGUACAGGAGGGGCAGGCGGAAUUCCAGGUGUAGCGGUGAAAUGCGUAGAGAUCAGGAGGAAUACCGGCGGCGAAGGCGGCCUGCUGGACUGAGACUGACGUUGAGGCGCGAAAGCGUGGGGAGCAAACAGGAUUAGAUACCCCUGUAGUC
rnacentral:rRNA from 1 species